GGCUCCUAGCUGAGAGCACACCCUGUCACCUGAGCUGCAGAAGGCAAAUGCAAGGAAAACAGGCUGAAUGGAAAUGUCUGUUUAACUAUCCUAAGAGCCAGGGAAAAGGCACAGACAGGUUCCAGAGGGUCCAAACUGCAGAGGGAAGAUCAGAGUGAGCUCGCAGUCGCCAAACAGCAGUUUGGAUGGCCCGAAGGUGGCACUGGAGAAAGCAAAGGAGAAUGCCCUACAUAGGAAACUCUUGUCUUAUGUGGCCACUGCGCUGGCUACAGGCAGCAGAACCAUUUCCAGCUGACUUCAGUUUUCCCCAAUUGGGGCAGCGGCGGAGAACCAGAGCUUUCCCCCUGGGCAAACUUGUGAAACCAGAGCGUGGCUCCGAGGGCUCCAACGGCUCCAACGCUUGUCUUAGCUCUCUGGCUGGUCCCUGUCGCUCUGAAAUGCAGUGCUGCCCUCUGCUGGCUGUCUUGAGGUACAGCGGCUCUGUACCUCAGGGACCCUGACUCCUUGUCUGGGGGGAGAGCUGCACAAAAACAGCACAAACCCGGAAAGAUCCUCGGAAAACACCUCUGGCUGUCUUUGGCUUUGAAUUUAAACAGGGACAGCUAAUUCUCGGGCGCGAGUUUAGCAAACUAGGUUCCAGGGUCUUGAAUGUUCAAAGAACAAUGGCUGCUAGCCCCACCCACCUCCUAGAUUCCAGGUCCUGGGCUGCCUCCCAAAGACACGCCCGGAGAUUCUGAAGUUCCUGCUGGUUGUUCAUGGCCUGGGGUUGCCGGCAUGGGUAGAAGCCACCAAGCUCCUGCUUCCCUGCCUCUCCAAAGAUUUCCACCACUGAUGUUUAAAUCCCCCACAGUUGCUAGCUGAAAUAGGCCCAGUUUCUGCAGAAGGGGCCCAGCAUUAGUUAGAGUUUAUGUUAGAUACACUUGGAUGGUCAAAAAAAAAAAGUGAUUUAGUUGCCUGGUGCUAUGCUACGGUAUUAACAAAAGCCACCAUAUGUAUUGCCUUUUUAUAUUAAAAAAAUUUUUUUUUGAACUGGGUGGUGGUGGCUCAUGCUAAAUCCCAGCACUCAGGAGGCAGAGGCAAGCGGAUCUCUGAGGCCAGCCUGGUCUACAGAGGGAGUUCCAGGACAGUCCCAAGGCUACACAGAGAGAAACCCUGUCUUGAAAAUCAAAAACAGCCGGGAGGUGGUGGCACACAUCUUGACUCCCAGAACUUGGGAGGCAGGGGCAGGGGCAGAGGCAGAGGGUCUCUGUGAGUUCGAGACCAGCCUGGUCUACAAGAGCUAGUUCCAGGACAGCCUCCAAAGCCACAGAGAAACUCUGCCUCGAUAAACCCAACAAACAAACAAAAAUCAAACAAACAAAAGAAGCAAGCCAAAUGCCAUUUAUUCCUUUC
rnacentral:lncRNA from 1 species